UACGGAGGGGGCUAGCGUUGUCCGGAAUUAUUGGGCGUAAAGCGCGCGCAGGCGGUCCUUUAAGUCUGAUGUGAAAGCCCACGGCUCAACCGUGGAAGGUCAUUGGAAACUGGAGGACUUGAGUACAGAAGAGGAAAGCGGAAUUCCACGUGUAGCGGUGAAAUGCGUAGAGAUGUGGAGGAACACCAGUGGCGAAGGCGGCUUUCUGGUCUGUAACUGACGCUGAGGCGCGAAAGCGUGGGGAGCAAACAGG
rnacentral:rRNA from 1 species